UACGUAGGUGGCAAGCGUUGUCCGGAUUUAUUGGGUUUAAAGGGUGCGUAGGCGGCUUUGUAAGUCAGUGGUGAAAUAUGGCAGCUCAACUGUCAGGGUGCCAUUGAUACUGCGGAGCUUGAGUACAGAUGAGGUAGGCGGAAUUGACGGUGUAGCGGUGAAAUGCUUAGAUAUCGUCAAGAACACCGAUUGCGAAGGCAGCUAACUAAGCUUUAACUGACGCUCAUGUGCGAAAGCGUGGGGAGCAAACAGG
rnacentral:rRNA from 1 species